UGAGCAAUCUGCCCUUCACAUCGGAAUAACCAUUGGAAACGAUGGCUAAUACCGAAUAUGACUUCGGAUCGCAUGAUCUGAAGUGGAAAGCUCCGGCGGUGAAGGAUGAGCUCGCGGCCUAUCAGCUUGUUGGUGGGGUGAUGGCCCACCAAGGCGACGACGGGUAGCCGGCCUGAGAGGGUGACCGGCCACACUGGGACUGAGACACGGCCCAGAUCCUACGGG
rnacentral:rRNA from 1 species